rnacentral:rRNA from 1 species
GGAAUCUUCCGCAAUGGGCGAAAGCCUGACGGAGCAACGCCGCGUGAGUGAUGAAGGUUUUCGGAUCGUAAAGCUCUGUUGCCAGGGAAGAACGCUUGGGAGAGUAACUGCUCCCAAGGUGACGGUACCUGAGAAGAAAGCCCCGGCUAACUACGUGCCAGCAGCCGCGGUAAUACGUAGGGGGCAAGCGUUGUCCGGAAUUAUUGGGCGUAAAGCGCGCGCAGGCGGCUGAUUAAGUCUGGUGUUUAAUCCUGGGGCUCAACCCUAGGUCGCACUGGAAACUGGUUGGCUUGAGUGCAGAAGAGGAAAGUGGAAUUCCACGUGUAGCGGUGAAAUGCGUAGAGAUGUGGAGGAACACCAGUGGCGAAGGCGACUUUCUGGGCUGUAACUGACGCUGAGGCGCGAAAGCGUGGGGAGCAAA